AAGAUUAAGCCAUGCAUGUCUAAGUAUAAGCAAUUUAUACAGUGAAACUGCGAAUGGCUCAUUAAAUCAGUUAUCGUUUAUUUGAUAGUUCCUUUACUACAUGGUAUAACUGUGGUAAUUCUAGAGCUAAUACGUGCUAAAAGACCCGACUCACGAAGGGUUGCAUUUAUUAGAUACAAAAGCCAACAUUUUCCAAUUGGUGAUUCAUAAUAACUUUUGCGGAUCGCAU
rnacentral:rRNA from 1 species